GAGUUUGAUCCUGGCUCAGGACGAACGCUGGCGGCGUGCCUAAUACAUGCAAGUCGAGCGGAUCUUCAUUAGCUUGCUUUUGAAGAUCAGCGGCGGACGGGUGAGUAACACGUGGGCAACCUGCCUGUAAGACUGGGAUAACUUCGGGAAACCGGAGCUAAUACCGGAUGAUCCUUUUCCUCUCAUGAGGAAAAGCUGAAAGACGGUUUCGGCUGUCACUUACAGAUGGGCCCGCGGCGCAUUAGCUAGUUGGUGAGGUAACGGCCCACCAAGGCGACGAUGCGUAGCCGACCUGAGAGGGUGAUCGGCCACACUGGGACUGAGACACGGCCCAGACUCCUACGGGAGGCAGCAGUAGGGAAUCUUCCGCAAUGGACGAAAGUCUGACGGAGCAACGCCGCGUGAGCGAUGAAGGCCU
rnacentral:rRNA from 1 species